rnacentral:tRNA from 1 species
GCUUCCGUAGCUCAGUCGGUAGAGCACUUCACUCGUAAUGAAGGGGUCACGAGUUCGAGUCUCGUCGGGAGCU